AUUGAACGCUGGCGGUAGGCUUAACACAUGCAAGUCGUGCGAGAAAGUAUCUUCGGAUAUGAGUAGAGCGGCGGACGGGUGAGUAACGCGUAGGAAUCUACCUAGUAGAAGGGGAUAGCCCGGGGAAACUCGGAUUAAUACCGUAUACCUCCUUCGGGAGAAAGAAGGCCUCUCUUUGAAGCUUUCGCUACUAGAUGAGCCUGCGUAAGAUUAGCUUGUUGGUGAGGUAAAGGCUCACCAAGGCAACGAUCUUUAGCGGGUCUGAGAGGACGAUCCGCCACAUUGGGACUGAGACACGGCCCAGACUCCUACGGGAGGCAGCAGUGGGGAAUAUUGGACAAUGGGCGCAA
rnacentral:rRNA from 1 species